AGGUUAAUAUUCCUGUACUUGGUGUUACUGCGAAGGGGGGACGGAGAAGGCUAUGUUAGCCGGGCGACGGUUGUCCCGGUUUAAGCAUGUAGGCUGGUUGUCCAGGCAAAUCCGGAUAAUCAAGGCUGAGGUGUGAUGACGAGGCACUACGGUGCUGAAGUAACAAAUGCCCUGCUUCCAGGAAAAGCCUCUAAGCAUCAGGUAACAUCAAAUCGUACCCCAAACCGACACAGGUGGUCAGGUAGAGAAUACCAAGGCGCUUGAGAGAACUCGGGUGAAGGAACUAGGCAAAAUGGUGCCGUAACUUCGGGAGAAGGCACGCUGGUGUGUAGGUGAAGCCCCUGCGGGUGGAGCUGAGACCAGUCGAAGAUACCAGCUGGCUGCAACUGUUUAUUAAAAACACAGCACUGUGCAAACACGAAAGUGGACGUAUACGGUGUGACGCCUGCCCGGUGCCGGAAGGUUAAUUGAUGGGGUUAUCCGUAAGGAGAAGC
rnacentral:rRNA from 1 species